AGACUGGCUGCCGUCGAUGGUUCCCAAGUCGGGAUUGAAAGGGAAUCCGGUGCCAGGCCGUCGGCCUGAAACCCGGAACUGCCCCCGCAACUGUAAUCGGCAAGCGCUUCGGCACGACAUGCCACUGGAUUUUUCCGGGAAGGCGAGCGAAGCGCGUUGAGCCGAGAGUCAGGAGACCUGCCUCGAUGAGUCCUUUUUUC
rnacentral:ncRNA from 1 species